UAAAAUCGAAGACUUCCGGCGGCAAAUUCGGAUAACAAUAAACCAAGAUGAACAGAGAAAGUGAGUUAGCAAGGCAGUUGCAAGAAUGGACGACACAAUAAAUGAACUUCAACUUACAGUCGUCCCACUCAGCAGCAUUUAUCCAGUGAAGUUGAGAGCCUUGUAAAGGACCAGGAUCCGCAAUAUGGCAAUGUGUGACACAACAUGUAACAUCCACAGACUGAGAGUACAUUAUUACAGCCUGCAUAUGGACGCUGAACAGUUGAGACAGUAAAUGGCAACCUGGCAUUGUAUCCUCAUAUAGACUACGCACACUGAAAAAAGUUAAAGUUAAGAGUGAAGGUACCAUCAGGUUUUCAACAGCAAAUGCCAUAAGGUCACACUCCCUGACUGUUUUUCCGUUUGUGUGAAAUCUACUGAUGCCCUGGCACGGUAUCUGAAAUAUGUGCGGUGUCUUCACAACAGAUGGUGUGGUGCAUUGAAAAUAUCAUGGCAAUGUACCACGUAAACAGAGGUUCAAGUAUGAUGUUGGAAAAGUGAGGGAUCUGGCCAAAAAGCUGUCUGUUUACAAGAAUGUACAUUAGGUAUUACAGAUAUUUGGACAACUGAAGGCCAGAUUGGAUGGCAUAUGUUAAAGCCAGCUGUAUGCCCUCAAGGAACAGUAAAACGUACACUUUCCAGCCAUCCUGUGACACUCGAUCAACCAGACGGCUUCCACAUCUAUCCAGUGGGCAUGUGAGUUGACACUACGGUGGCCGCUCAACCAUGACACAAUUGAUCAAUCACAGCUAGAGUUCAGCCGAUGUUCACGAAACAGAGAAAGGGAAUGGUCUACUUUAGAGGUCACAUUGCUUACCGUUUUAAGCAAACACCACAGAAAGGUACAGACACGGGAGACAAUUGCUGAUGUAAUAAGCUACACCAGCAGUGCCUACAGUACAGGAAGAAGACUAUGAUGAAAAGCAUUCUCUUUGGUGGCGCUGAACUGACAUGUGGAAAAAUAUCAGAGCACAGAUGGCCAGACAGGAUGGGGACAUACCAGAAUAGAGAGGUCAUCAUGGAAGCAUAGUGUCAAUCAACACUGUGUAUGUAUACACAACAGAAAUCGCAUUCAUCAAUACAUUACAGAUUAGUAAAUCUCACUGGAGGCUGUUGGAAGAACCCAGAAUGUGACUACUGGAAUGAUUCAACACACAUUUAAAAGUGAUGAUGAAGAAAGUUGGGUCAAGUCAUUCUGUGAGCAUGGUUGAUAAAACAGGGAAUACUAUCACAUUGACCAAGUUCACUCAAAACCAAGGAAAAGAACUCCAAGUUACACUUCAACUAUUUUAGGCUUAAACUAAUUUAGGCCUUUGGACGCACAAAAGCUGCAUAAUGCUGCAUAUAUGUUAAAUCGAAAGAAAACAUAUUGUGUGAUCAACUAAACAGCCCCUGAAAGAGUCACAUGAUAUUAUUUACUGCUUGUGGUAUUUAAGCAUUUAAGUCCCUGGCAGUUAAGUAAAUACUGAAAUAUGAUGAUACUUCUAAUCCAAUCAUGUAAACACAAUAGCUAGAAAUAACAUAAAAUACAUUUCUAUAACAGCAAUUUCUGUAAGUUACAGUACCCCUAAUAAAAAAUUAAUUGAAUAAGAUACCUAUUGAAACAAGUUAUUAUAUUGACAAAAAAGAAAGAAACUAAAGAAAAUGCCAUCUUUUUUAUAUCUUAGAAGUAAAAAACAAGUGUUGCUGAGAUUCAUUCAAGAUGCACUCUUGCUCCCAAAUAAGAUUUACCAUAAUUAAUAGUAUUGUUUUAAUGUUCCAAAAAGGAGAAAUUAAUGUGGAAAACAAUGGUUCUUAUUAAGGAAACCGAGUUUAAUUCGAAAGAAAUAAGCAUAAAACACAGUAUAUCUACCUUAUGAGACUAUAGUAGACCACAGUAAAUCUUUUAUCAUUCACGAAUCAUUUAAUAUUUGUUGUGCUUCCUGCUAUUAAAUAGACGGUUACAAUCUUGCUAUCAGUAAUCAAUAUUUUCAAUAAGUGGAUUAUUGAGUAAGUAUAUAAAGGUUUAUCAGUCAAAAUUGAUGUUUGUUAUACAUGUGUAUGUAUUGAUUUUGAAUAAUAGUGUCAUUUUAAUUGUUUGAAUUGUCACUUUUUCCCAGAUAUUAGAAGUAACCAUUCAUCACAUUAUUUUGUAAAUUACCAAGGCUUUUACACGUUUUAACCACUCAUGAAUGGUAAUGAUCAAGCAAAAUCGAUUGAAACUCUGCCUCUUCUGUAAAACAAUAUUUAUUCAUUCAUUCUCAUUCAUGUACUAUCAACAAAUAUUCUAUGUAAUUAUGUUUUACUGGUUGUAUACACAAUAUUUGGUGACGUUCAUACCAUUUUUGCGCUGAGUACAUCUAAAAUUAUACCAUACUUUUCAUAAAUGUCAUACUAUAACAUUUAAAUGACAUAGGCAGUAGUUUACAGGGCUUCCAUUAAGAAUUUGAAACUGAAAGUAUGAACUUCCUGACCAUCAAUAUUGGAAGUUUUACAUUGAAAUUUGGAAGUUACAGUUUCCCUUAAUACAAUUUUUUCCAGUAUUUUUUAAAUAGUAUGUUAAAAAUCUAAUAAUUUAAAAUUAUAUCUUGCCAGAUUCACAGUUUUAUGUUAUAAUAAUUCAUUUUACUUCAAGACUGAUUGAAAUUGUGAGCAUAUUAGUAAUAUUGACACAAGGUUUUGAUAUUUUGAACUUCCAAGCGUUUGGCUUUGGAAGUUUUCUUCAAAAUUAUGGAAGUUUUUGUAAUUCCAAGAAAUUAAUUUUGGAAGUUUAAAUCCAUUUUUAGGGAGUAGUAUACUUCCAAACUUCCUUUAACGGAAGCCCUGAGUUUAUAUAUUAAUUAAUAAGAUGGUUACAAAAACAUGUUGUUAAUGAUGUAUUUGGGAUAUUGUUUACUUAAUACACCUGAAAGUCAAAGUCACACAAUGUCACACAAGUUUUUCCUUUGACGUCAUACUGUGUUUUAAACUUUGCAUAUCUUAGACUGUAAUUAAAACAUUAAUAAAUAGUCUUUCAAUGGUAAUAACUGUGUCUACAACUGCAUAACAAAGUAUAUUUGUAUUUUAAUUCCAAAAUUGUAAUAUUCAUGUCAUUAAUACAUAAUCUCACUACAUUAGCUCAUACAUGUUUUAUAUAUUGAAUUGUGGCCGAUUAUGUAGCCGGUUUGUUUAUCUUUCUUUUAUUACAAGGGCAUUACAUCAUUUUUAUAACUUGCACUCUUAUAUUGAAACAAAGGCACACAUGCAGUUAACAUGCAGUUGAGAGUAAAUUAUUCUUGUUUUUCACAUCCUUGAGAGUAAUAUAUAUGCAUAUUGAAUUAUUAAUUACUCUUUUUGUCAGAAAAUAUGACAAUAUGAUGGUGUUCAAAAGGCUGUAUUGUAUGGUAAAUAUAAGUUACUGCCAGUAUACUGUUAAACCUGUAAGUGUACAUAAAUUAUAUAUGAUAUAUGUUGAUUAAUUGCAUUUGUAUUUAGUCAGAAUAAACCAAACCUUUAUAUAUUAAAUGGAUUUUUUGUACAAUUUUCUGAAUAAUACCAGUACAGAGAAUAGUGUUAAGUAGUCUCACUCCUACAAUAGCUCUGAGUCUUAGAAGUUUUGGCUAAUUUUCAAUUUGAGACUUUGAGCGAAUGCAUUUUGCAAGCCAUGUAAUAUAAAACAACAGAUCAGACCAAUUGAUUUCAACACUUUUAUUAACUUUUAUUACACUCAUACAUUAGUAGCAACAAGAAUUCUGGUUUCCAUUCAAAACAGUGUCUUGGACCAAGGUCUCCAUGCAGAUAAUUUAUGUACCCAAACCUGUAGGAGGCCUGUACUGUUAGGGGUAAACUACUUUUGUGGUAAAAACGUACUGGUCAAGAACCAUCUACCACUCUACAUACAUGUUAAUUUGAGGACAAAAACACUAUUAAGCGGGACCUUUUGUAUUAAAUGUUUUAAUUUAGUUUAUUUUUCAAAAAAAUAAAUAAUGACAAGUGCAGUUCAGUAUAUUUGGAUGCCAUAAUCUGAAACAUAACAACACCGAUGAUGAAAAACUUCUUUAACCCUUAAUCUCCGGCAAAUGAAGAGAUUGUGGAAAUGUCAUUUCCCCAAGGGUAGGUGGGGCUGGAAAACCCUCAGUCUGCGCGGCAGUCAUGCCAUCCUUCCAAAACAAGAGAACGGCAGAUGAACAGUACCUUAAAAAUACCUGAAAAAUAGACACAUAUUGUUACACAACAUUAUUAAGGAUCAGAUAGGCAUUACCAUAUUUACCCCCGACGACUACCAGUUCAAUUCUUUGUCAAGUCUGACGAAGAAGCUGUACCAAAAGUAAAACACAUCUAGUCUUUCUAGUAAAUGAUUUUAGGUUUAGUCGGCUAUAGAUUGAUAGAUAGAUAGAUUUCAGUAAGGAAUGCAUAUACGUACAUGGACAUGUAAAAUAAACAACAUAUAUAGUAAAUAACAUUAUACAUAUAUGAUAUUAUCAAUAGCCAGGACAGGCACACCAAACCAAGGAUGACACACAAAAAAGAAAACUCUUAUUUCCAUUGUGGUCUUUUGUUUUGGCGACAUGGCAUAGAGAGGCAUUGCAUUUUUAAAUAAUAAUAUGGCUGUAAUCGAAGUUGCACAAAUAUAUUAAAAGUUAGUCUUUAUGCAUUAAAAUAAAUACUGCUGCAGAUGUAUCACAGUCACUUUACAUAAUUCCACCUAGAUAUGUAUUUCGGGAAAUGUUAUUAUACACAUGCUAUUGACUCUUAUGUUUUAUUUUACCAUAUUUCGUAAAAACACUUUUAUGGCAUUAACAAAUGCUCUAUUUUCAUUCAAAGCUUGUGUUACGUUUUCCCUUCAUCCAUACGAGUUAGACCAGGCCUGUCACUUAGUACCUUGACGUUGAG